rnacentral:rRNA from 1 species
GUGUAUGGCCAUACCACCCUGAAUGUGCCCGAUCUCAUCUGAUCUUGGAAGCUAAACAGGGUUUAGCCUGGUUAAUACUUGGAUGGGAGACUAUAGAUAUGUGGAUUUAUUUCUN